GACGAACGCUGGCGGCGUGCUUAACACAUGCAAGUCGAACGGAAAGGCCCUGCUUUUGUGGGGUGCUCGAGUGGCGAACGGGUGGGUAACACGUGAGUAACCUGCCCUUGACUUUGGGAUAACUUCAGGAAACUGGGGCUAAUACCGGAUAGGAGCUCCUGCUGCAUGGUGGGGGUUGGAAAGUUUCGGCGGUUGGGGAUGGACUCGCGGCUUAUCAGCUUGUUGGUGGGGUAGUGGCUUACCAAGGCUUUGACGGGUAGCCGGCCUGAGAGGGUGACCGGCCACAUUGGGACUGAGAUACGGCCCAGACUCCUACGGGAGGCAGCAGUGGGGAAUAUUGCACAAUGGGUGGAAGCCUGAUGCAGCAACGCCGCGUGCGGGAUGACGGCCUUCGGGUUGUAAACCGCUUUCGCCUGUGACGAAGCGUGAGUGACGGUAAUGGGUAAAGAAGCACCGGCUAACUACGUG
rnacentral:rRNA from 1 species